ACGUAGGUGGCAAGCGUUAUCCGGAAUUAUUGGGCGUAAAGGGUGCGCAGGCGGUCUGUUAAGUUUAGGGUGAAAGCGUUGGGCUCAACCCAAUACAGCCUUAAAAACUGACAGACUAGAGUGCAGAAGAGGGUAGUGGAAUUCCAUGUGUAGCGGUAAAAUGCGUAGAUAUAUGGAGGAACACCAGUGGCGAAGGCGGCUACCUGGUCUGUAACUGACGCUCAGGCACGAAAGCGUGGGGAGCAAAUAGG
rnacentral:rRNA from 1 species